UUAUGGCUCAGACGAACGCUGGCGGCAUGGAUUAGGCAUGCAAGUUGAACGAACUCCUUCGGGAGUGAGUAGCGGAAGGGUGAGGAACGCGUGAGUAAUCUGCCCCCCAGUUGGGAAUAACAGUUGGAAACGACUGCUAAUACCGAAUGUGGCUUAAGCUUCGCCUGGAGCUUUGGCUAAAGAUUUAUCGCUGGGGGAUGAGCUCGCGUCCCAUUAGGUAGUUGGUGAGGUAACGGCUCACCAAGCCGACGAUGGGUAGCUGGUCUGAGAGGAUGGUCAGCCACACUGGGACUGAGACACUGCCCAGACUCCUACGGGAGGCUGCAGUCGAGAAUCUUGGGCAAUGCGCGAAAGCGUGACCCAAGCAAUGCCGCGUGUAUGAUGAAGGCCCUCGGGUCGUAAAGUACUGUCUCCCGUGACGAAAUUUGACGGUAGCGGGGAAGGAAGCCACGGCUAACUACGUGCCAGCAGCAGC
rnacentral:rRNA from 1 species